rnacentral:lncRNA from 1 species
CUCUUCUCAUUGAGAUACACCCAAUCAACAACACAAAGGUCCUGAAGGCAGUGGACUGCAAAGUCAAAGUGCAGGUAGUAAACAGCAGUUAUGUGAAGCUGGUGAUGAAAAACACAUUGAAAUCACAUUGAAAUGGUCUUUUAUUUCCCAUGACCCCCUUUCUAGUUUCUUCAUCCUAAGACAUGUCGGACCACCGUACUGGAGAGUCAUUUGCUGUUGGCGGCAGAGGAUGGCUAUGUUGAUCAGUACCACAUUACUCGGAUGAGGCAGGAG